rnacentral:lncRNA from 1 species
CCAUUUCUCUUUAAAAUCAGUCUUUCUUUAUAUUUCAGUCAUCAUCUUUAAUGAGAGCAGAUUCACAGCUGGAAAAGCCUGAGAGAAAAGUUUCCUGAACCUCUGGAGGAAGAUGGGAAAGCAGCAGCAAACACAAAGAUUUUCUUUUUAGGUCAGGUGCUGCUGUGCUGCUUGAGCAUCCAGACCUACCCAGGGAAGUUUGUAAGGCUGCUUUAAAGACAUCUACAGGAGAUUCUGCUGUUGACAAAUUGGAAAGGACAGCUCAGGCAUUAAGAACAUAACUUUUGAGAUACCAUGUUUGAGGUCCUUCUGUCUCAUCCUGGUGUCAGUUGUUAACCAUGGCCCCAGUUCAGUGGCUUUCUGCUCUUCAGUAAAGGACAAGAUGAGAGAAAUCCACCAUUACCUGUGAUGAGCUGCGAGAACAGAGCCAAGUAAGUUUUAACUAUUGAAAUCAGGGAAAAAUGUGGUGAAGAGUAUAACUUCCCUCUC